rnacentral:lncRNA from 1 species
AUUUUUCAUCAUCGAAUCCCCCACGGUAAGGGGACCGGUAGGGGAUAUGAAGGAUGGCCGCCAUAUGUUGUCUGGUGAAGGCGGAGCUGCCUCUUCACCAAUGUUCAAGUCAAAACGACGAUCAGAAGGGCCAGACAUUUUUUCAGAGGUGGUAAAGAAAGAAGAGAGUCGGAAUGAUCAAGAUUAAACAAGUGCAAGAAGGGAGUGUUUACAGGAGGGUACUCAAGUGUGUUGUGGAACAAAAUUAACGCCUCUAUAAAAAGAAGAAAUCAAAGAGGCGCUCCUCAGAGAUGCGUCCUCUCGCAAAUCGAAGAGUCGGGGCUCCUUUCUCAAAAGCCGGAUUCUUUUCUCAAAAGAGGAGUUUCCGUUCUCAAAAGCCGGAUUCUUUUCUCAAAAGAGGCGUUCAUUUCUUAAAAGUUGGGCUUGCUCAGAAACCACGAGCCGAACCCCAGAUUUCGCAAGAUCAAUUCGUCCAGACGUGUUGUCACCCGUCACACGCAAACUCAGCUCUGCGAAAAUCACGGGCAGUCUGUCGAAGUGCCGAUUCCAACCAUCUGUCUCUCUCAGCCUAGUCAGCACUUGUCACAUGCAACUGGCAGCUUUUGCGGAAAUUACGGGCAGCUUUGUCAGAAAGCGCGUAAUUUGUAUUCUUCACCCCAUCCACCGGCUGCCGACACUAAGUGAGAGAACAGUUCCGGUUGUGAAGACAAGUCCUAUAAGUUUCUAC